GACGAACGCUGGCGGCGUGCCUAACACAUGCAAGUCGAACGAGGGUUUGGAAAGCUUGCUUUCCGAAACCUAGUGGCGGACGGGUGAGUAACGCGUGAGUAACCUGCCCUUCAGAGGGGAAUAACGUUCUGAAAAGAACGCUAAUACCGCAUAACGUACAGUUACCGCAUGGUAGCAGUACCAAAGGAGCAAUCCGCUGAAAGAUGGACUCGCGUCCGAUUAGCUAGUUGGUGGGGUAAAGGCCUACCAAGGCGACGAUCGGUAGCCGGACUGAGAGGUUGAACGGCCACAUUGGGACUGAGACACGGCCCAGACUCCUACGGGAGGCAGCAGUGGGGGAUAUUGCACAAUGGGGGAAACCCUGAUGCAGCAACGCCGCGUGUGGGAAGAAGGUUUUCGGAUUGUAAACCACUGUUCUUGGUGAAGAUAAUGACGGUAACCAAGGAGAAAGCUCCGGCU
rnacentral:rRNA from 1 species